rnacentral:rRNA from 1 species
UAGAGUUUGAUCCUGGCUCAGGAUGAACGCUAGCUACAGGCUUAACACAUGCAAGUCGAGGGGAAACGGCAUUGAGUGCUUGCACUCUUUGGACGUCGACCGGCGCACGGGUGAGUAACGCGUAUCCAACCUUCCCAUUACUGUGGGAUAACCUGCCGAAAGGCAGACUAAUACCGCAUAGUCUUCGAUGACGGCAUCAGAUUUGAAGUAAAGAUUUAUCGGUAAUGGAUGGGGAUGCGUCUGAUUAGCUUGUUGGCGGGGUAACGGCCCACCAAGGCUACGAUCAGUAGGGGUUCUGAGAGGAAGGUCCCCCACAAUUGGAACUGAGACACGGUCCAAACUCCUACGGGAGGCAGCAGUGAGGAAUAUUGGUCAAUGGACGGAAGUCUGAACCAGCCAAGUAGCGUGCAGGAUGACGGCCCUAUGGGUUGUAAACUGCUUUUGUAUGGGGAUAAAGUUAGGGACGUGUCCCUAUUUGCAGGUACCAUACGAAUAAGGACCGGCUAAUUCCGUGCCAGCAGCCGCGGUAAUACGGAAGGUCCAGGCGUUAUCCGGAUUUAUUGGGUUUAAAGGGAGCCUCGCCUGGAGAUUAAGUGUGUUGUGAAAUGUAGACGCUCAACGUCUGAAUUGCAGCGCAUACUGGUUUCCUUGAGUACGCACAACGUUGGCGGAAUUCGUCGUGUAGCGGUGAAAUGCUUAGAUAUGACGAAGAACUCCGAUUGCGAAGGCAGCUGACGGGAGCGCAACUGACGCUUAAGCUCGAAGGUGCGGGUAUCAAACAGGAUUAGAUACCCUGGUAGUCCGCACAGU